GGUGUUGCAUGGCUGUCGUCAGCUCGUGUCGUGAGAUGUUGGGUUAAGUCCCGCAACGAGCGCAACCCUCAUCCUUGGUUACCAUCAGGUAAUGCUGGGGACUUUAAGGAAACUGCCAGUGAUAAACUGGAGGAAGGUGGGGAUGAUGUCAAGUCAUCAUGGCCCUUAUGGAGUGGGCUACACACGUGCUACAAUGGUGGCUACAAUGGGCUGCAAAGUCGCGAGGCUAAGCUAAUCCCUUAAAAGCCAUCUCAGUUCGGAUUGUACUCUGCAACUCGAGUGCAUGAAGUUGGAAUCGCUAGUAAUCGUGGAUCAGCACGCCACGGUGAAUACGUUCCCGGGUCUUGUACACAC
rnacentral:rRNA from 1 species